rnacentral:rRNA from 1 species
CCUACGGGCGGCAGCAGUGGGGAAUAUUGGACAAUGGGGGGAACCCUGAUCCAGCCAUGCCGCGUGUGUGAAGAAGGCCCUCGGGUUGUAAAGCACUUUCAGUGAGGAAGAACGCCUGGUGGUUAAUACCCAUCAGGAAAGACAUCACUCACAGAAGAAGCACCGGCUAACUCCGUGCCAGCAGCCGCGGUAAUACGGAGGGUGCGAGCGUUAAUCGGAAUUACUGGGCGUAAAGCGCGCGUAGGUGGCUUGAUAAGCCGGUUGUGAAAGCCCCGGGCUCAACCUGGGAACGGCAUCCGGAACUGUCAAGCUAGAGUGCAGGAGAGGAAGGUAGAAUUCCCGGUGUAGCGGUGAAAUGCGUAGAGAUCGGGAGGAAUACCAGUGGCGAAGGCGGCCUCUGGACUGACACUGACACUGAGGUGCGAAAGCGUGGGUAGCAAACAGGAUUAGAUACCCUAGUAGUC